UACGGAGGGUGCAAGCGUUAAUCGGAAUUACUGGGCGUAAAGCGUGCGUAGGCGGUUCGUUAAGUCUGUUGUGAAAGCCCCGGGCUCAACCUGGGAAUGGCAAUGGAUACUGGCGGGCUAGAGUGUGUCAGAGGAUGGUGGAACUCCCGGUGUAGCGGUGAAAUGCGUAGAGAUCGGGAGGAACAUCAGUGGCGAAGGCGGCCAUCUGGGGAACAACACUGACGCUGAGGCACGAAAGCGUGGGGAGCAAACAGG
rnacentral:rRNA from 1 species